AUUGAACGCUGGCGGCAGGCCUAACACAUGCAAGUCGAACGAGUGGCGGACGGGUGAGCAAUGACUGGGCCACUGCCUGAUGGAGAGGGUUCACUACUGGAAACGGUAGCUACUAACGCAUUCCAUCGGCUGUGCCCAGAUGGGAUUAGCUAGUAGGUGGGGUAAAGGCUCACCUAGGCGACGAUCCGUAGCUGGUCUGAGAGGAUGACCAGCCACACUGGAACUGAGACACGGUCCAGACUCCUACGGGAGGCAGCAGUGGGGAAUAUUGGACAAUGGGCGCAAGCCUGAUGCAGCCAUGCCGCGUGUAUGAAGAAGGCCUUCGGGUUGUAAAGUACUUUCAGCGGGGAGGCGUUACCCGCAGAAGAAGCACCGGCUAACUCCGUGCCAGCAGCCGCGGUAAUAC
rnacentral:rRNA from 1 species